GGACAUGUGCCUGAAAGAUAAGGCUUACCUUGAUAGGGUAAUUAAUAGAGGUUCAAACCCCCUCAUCUCC
rnacentral:tRNA from 1 species